rnacentral:rRNA from 1 species
GACGAACGCNGGCGGCGUGCUUAACACAUGCAAGUCGAACGGAGCGAAUGAAAGCUUGCUUUUAUAAGCUUAGUGGCAAACGGGUGAGUAACACGUAGACAACCUGCCGACAGGAUGGGGACAACAUUCCGAAAGGAAUGCUAAUACCGAAUGAAGUGCAGGGGAGGCAUCUCCCCUGCAUGAAAGAUGGCCUCUUUUUAUGCUAUCACCUGUUGAUGGGUCUGCGUCUGAUUAGCUGGUAGGUGAGGUAACGGCUCACCUAGGCGACGAUCAGUAGCCGGUCUGAGAGGAUGAACGGCCACAUUGGGACUGAGACACGGCCCAGACUCCUACGGGAGGCAGCAGUGGGGAAUCUUCCGCAAUGGGCGCAAGCCUGACGGAGCAACGCCGCGUGAGUGAAGAAGGUCUUCGGAUCGUAAAGCUCUGUUGAUGGGGACGAACGUGCCUAAUGCGAAUAGUAUUAGGUAANGA